GAGGGGGGGGGAGAAGAGAGUCCUGGAGGCGGGGCAAGAGCUGAGCAGCCGGAACGCAGCUGCCGCCUCCUCCUCGUCGUUGUCGUCGCCGCCGCAGCGGCUUGUAAACAGAUCCGGGGCCUCCACGUGACCGCUUCAAGUACCUGUGUGAGGGGACUGUAUUGACUUGCCUCUCGUAUUGUCUCCGGCAGGCAAGCAGCAGCAGCAGCAAGAGGAGCCGCCGCCGCCGCCGCCGCCGCCGCCGGGCUCAUGACAACAAAGCCGAGCGGGAGAGCGCGAGGGGAGCGCGCGCCGCGGCGGCAGCAGCAGCAGCUGCAGUCGCUGACGACUCUCUGGCGCCUUCUUAGCCUAUCCCCCUCGUCGUCCCUUCCCCUCGCAUCCCACCCGGCCCCGCCAGUAGCGCAUCCUUCCCUUCACGUUCCCUCCCUCCCUGCCCGCCGCCGCCGCUAAAAUGGCUGAGGCUGUUGGGCAGUGACUUGAGCGCCCUCCCGGUUUGGUGGUCGUGAGGAAGCAAGGGAGCCGAGCUGUGGCGGGCAGCGGCUGCCCCCUCGGCCACCAUGAGUACCUUCGCCUUGGAGGAGACCCUGGAGGCGGACUGGGUGGCCGUGAGGCCUCACGCCUUCCACGAACGGGAGAAGCACAAGUUCGUCUUCAUCGUGGCCUGGAAUGAGAUCGAGGGCAAGUUCGCCAUCACCUGCCACAACCGGACGGCGCAGAGGCAGCGCAGCGGCUCCAGGGAGAUCCGCCGCGGGGGGAGCCCCGGCCUCGAGCACCAGCGAGCCGCCGCCGCCGCCUCUUCCUCCAAGGUGCCCGGGAGCCCCACCGUCCGCAGGAGCAGCCCGGCCUGGAGCAGCGCCGAGCCUGGCCAAGCCAGGAGCUCGCCGGUUUCUCCCGCCCGGGCCGAGCCGUUGCCUAGGAGCCCCGGCAGCCGAGUAGCGGAGGCACCGCCGCCGCAGAGGAGCCCGGCCCGGGCGCGGAGCAGCCCUGCCCGGAGGCCUCAGCCUGCUGCGAAGGCGCCGCUCAGCCCCGCGGCCUGCGCGGCCGAGGACAUCGAGGUGCUGGAGCUGGGGAAAGACGAGCCUGCGGGAGGCGCCGCUUUCCUGCUGCCGUCCCCGCUCGCCGGGCCUGCGGUCGCCCCGCAGCCGCCUUCGGCGGCCGUCUCGGAGACCGAGGCGCCGUCGGGCGAGGAGUGCAGCUGGGCCGGCCUCUUCUCUUUCCAGGACCUGCGGGCCGUGCACCAGCAGCUGUGCUCGGUGAGCUCCGAGCUGGAGCCCUGCUUGCCGGUCCUUCCCGAGGAGCCGUCGGGCAUGUGGACGGUCCUCUUCGGAGCUCCGGAGAUGUCGGAGGAGGAGAUGGACGCUUUGUGCUGCCGGCUGCAGGUCUACCUGGGCCACUGCCUGGACACCUGCGGGUGGAAGAUCCUCUCCCAGGUGCUGUUCACCGAAACGGACGACCCGGAGGAGUAUUACGAGAGCCUGAGCGAGCUGCGGCAAAAGGGUUACGAGGAAGUGCUGCAGCGUGCCCGCAAGCGCAUCCAGGAGCUCCUAGAGAAACACAAGAAUACAGAAAGCAUGGUAGAGCUGCUUGAACUAUAUCAAAUGGAAGAUGAAGCAUAUAGCAUUCUUGCUGAAGCAACUACAGAACUUUAUCAGUACUUACUGCAGCCAUUUCGAGAUAUGAGGGAGCUUGCAAUGCUCAGAAGACAGCAGAUAAAGAUAUCCAUAGAGAAUGAUUACCUGGGACCUAGAAGAAUUGAGAGUCUACAGAAAGAAGAUGCAGACUGGCAGCGGAAGGCCCACAUGGCUGUGCUUUCUAUUCAAGACCUCACUGUUAAAUAUUUUGAAAUAACAGCAAAAGCACAGAAAGCUGUAUAUGAUCGAAUGCGAGCAGACCAGAAAAAGUUUGGUAAGGCAGCUUGGGCAGCAGCAGUGGAACGAAUGGAAAAGCUUCAGUAUGCGGUGUCUAAGGAGACUUUGCAGCUUAUGAGAGCAAAAGAAAUCUGUUUGGAACAGAAGAAACAUGCGUUAAAAGAAGAGAUGCAGAGUUUACAAGGUGGCACAGAAGCCAUAGCCCAUUUGGAUCAACUUGAAUCUGAUUAUUAUGACCUGCAACUUCAGUUGUAUGAAGUACAGUUUGAAAUUUUGAAGUGUGAAGAACUGCUGCUGACAGCACAACUUGAAAGCAUCAAAAGACUUAUUUCAGAGAAAAGAGAUGAAGUAGUGUAUUAUGAUACCUAUGAAAGUAUGGAAGCCAUGCUCGAAAAAGAAGAUAUGGCAGCAUCUAUACACUUGCAAAGAGAAGAGCUACAGAAAUUGCAACAGAAAGUCCGCCAGCUAGAAGCAAGGCGUGGGCGCAUUUCAGCCAAGAAAGCCUACCUCAGAAAUAAAAAGGAGAUCUGCAUUGCAAAACAUCAUGAAAAAUUCUUGCAGCACUUUCAGAGUGAAGAAGAGUCACAGCAUACUGCACAGUUUAAGAGGGAGCAGUUGCAAGCUGAAGAAGAAAGAAAAAGCUCAUGGGUUACUCAGGAACGACAGAUAACACUGGACAGACUUCGAACAUUUAAACAGCGCUAUCCUGGACAGGUAAUACUCAAAUCAACCAGACUUCGACUGGCCCAUGCAAGAAGAAAAAGUACAGCCAGUUCAACUUCAUGUGCUGAUCAUCGUCUGUCGCUACCUGUAACUACACAGACUGAUGUGGUGGGGCAAGAAAAAAGAAUACAACCUUUACAAAUCCAGGAGUCUAGAAAUUUAGGACCACUUGAAGAUACUUCACCUCCCUGUGGCGUUAUCUCUGAAUUUUCUCAAAUUCCUUCUCCUCCUGCUCUUCUCAGUAAUGAACUUCAGCCCAAUAUAGUUAAUGAGGCCCCAAUGCCGCCUCCUCUUCCACCGCCGCCGCCACCACCUCUGCCCACCAAGGAAGAGUCUACUCAGUGCUCUGAGAAGAGCAGUAGCCCUGUGAAACAACCCAGCAUUGAGAAGCCAGCACUGCUGACCACUAUAGCACCAUCAGCUCAUUUCUUUGAUAGCAGCCAGUUGGUCAGUGCCAAGAAGAAACUAAAGAAAAUGGGCGAUAUGGAAGGCUUGCAGAGGAGAAGAGUGAGUUCCCCAAUGGAUGAGGUGUUGGCUUCCUUGAAACGUGGUAGCUUCCACCUGAGGAAAGUUGAGCAGAGAAAUCUCCCGCCUUUCCCUGAUGAAGAUGACAGCAAUAACAUCUUGGCACAGAUAAGAAAAGGUGUGAAACUGAAGAAAGUGCAAAAGGACCUUAUGAGAGAAUCAUUCACAAUUCUACCUGAUGAUGACCCUUUGACACGCAGCAUCCAUGAAGCACUACGGCGAAUUAAGGAAGCAUCACCAGAGUCUGAAGAUGAAGAGGAGAACCUGCCUUGCACAGACUGGGAAAAUUAAGGAGUAAUGUUUCAUCUUUUGCUAGAGCAGCCUGUCACAGAACGUGGCCUGCAGACUCAGAUGCCAAGGAGGAAUAGCUGUUUUUUGUUUGUUUAAACAGGUGGUGAGGAUUCCACAGAAUAAUGAUUUUCCUUUCACUUCUGAACAUCCAUAGUCAACAGUUUGAUCACCACCUUCUGUCUGGGAAAGGCUUCAUCUGACAAACAAUUUGAUAUGUGCAGAAGAGCUUAAAAUGCAUUUUUUAAAAUUAUGGUACAAAAUUCUGAUGGGAUCAAAAACUACCUUAUUAGAUGUGUAUUUUGCAGAACACUGAGGAGAACGAACCAUUCAAGAUAUUUCUGGUUCUUCACUCACUUUUUACAGUCGUGUGAAACACUAAAUCAGCACCUAUUGCAGCAGAGCUUCUUCCCAACAUAAUUUACCAGGACAGGUCUGCAAUCUGACCUUUGGUUCACUGAAGACUUCACUGUUUAAUCAACAAAUUGCUACUUUCACAUCAGCUUCUAUUACAGCAACAGGAAUUCUCCUAAAGGUCUUUAUUUCUCACUAUAUUUGUCAUGUAGGAAGUGGAUUUCAGAGAUAUAAUGCAUUUUAACUAUUCAUUGUACAAAAUGCAAGUUAUUUUGAAAAUGGGAACAAAUGGCUCUACAGAAUAACAGGAAGCCCCCUAAGAGUGGAAUACAUAUACUUAAGAAUGUAUUGUUUACAGCCUAGUACAUUUAAAAUGGCAUAUAGCAAAACCCUUUAGAAGGCCAUGUAUACUGUGUACAUCUUGUAUUUUUAAAUUAGAAUUUCCCAUGCUCGUAUAAAUAGAAACAUUUUAAUUGCAGGACUGAGUGAUAGAUAAUAAAGUUACAUAAAAUUUUAUUUAUAGAAGCAAUAUUUUGUAAUGAGAAUACUUAAAAUUAUUUUUGUCUAUUAGUUUGACUGUUCUUUGAUUACUCUAAGGAACCUUUAUUUAAAGAAAAUUCAAAACUGAAAUCCAAUUUUACUGUUAAGUUGUGGAAGUUAUAAUUUUUUUCCAGUUUUCAUUAUUCCUGUCAUUGUUAAAAUAUUUGAAUUAUGUAACAGCCUGCUUAUUUGAAGAACACUUCAUUUUUAACCCUGGUUGGUCUAAAGGAGGCACAGCCUUUGGUACAGUGAAUAUCUAAAGCAACGUAAUCCCAAACAGCAUGACUAAUAGCUGCAGGCAGCUCAUUUUUAAUAACAGAGUACUGUACGGAAUAGUAUUUCUGCACCAGGGCUAAUCUUACCCUUAUUAAAAUGCUCUCUAAUGAAAAUUUCUGCUUGUAGGAGAAUCUUGUGCUUGACAAACUAUGAUCCCUUAUGAUAGGAAAUAUCCAUUUUAAAAUGAUUUACUAUAUUCACUGCCCUGUUGUAAGUAGAUGCAUAUUGGAUGGAAUGCAUUUAGUAAGCCCACUCACCUUUCAUAGUAAGAGGUUAAAUGUCUUGCUCUUUUUCCUUUUAAAAAUACUUGGGAGUACCCUGAAUACUUGACAGUACAUGUAACAGUCCAGGUCAACUCUUGGAAAUAUUUGGGUGUGCAAAAGUGACUACCUAGGUCAGUAAUAAUAAUGAGAAAUAUUUUAUCGGGAUACCUGCCAUUCUGUUUUUUGUUUUU